rnacentral:rRNA from 1 species
GUUCCUACGGGCGCAGCAGUCGAGAAUCAUUCACAAUGGGGGAAACCCUGAUGGUGCGACGCCGCGUGGGGGAAUGAAGGUCUUCGGAUUGUAAACCCCUGUCAUGUGGGAGCACAUUAAACCGCUCGUACCACACGAGGAAGAGACGGCUAACUCUGUGCCAGCAGCCGCGGUACUCCCGAGGUCUCAAGCGUUGUUCGGACUCACUGGGCGUCCCGCGUGCGUAGGCUGUUUCUUCCGUCGUGUGUG